rnacentral:lncRNA from 1 species
GCACUAUACCACUGAGCUACCUCCCCAGCCUAGAAAGUGAUCUUUAAGAGGACAUCUGAAAGAUAACUAUAAAGACAGGUACAGGGCCAAGGGGCCAAACUCUCUGAUGGAGAACAGAGAGCAAGAGAGAACAUGCGAUAGCUGGUGAAAGAGCCAAGACAAAUUAGAAAGAGUCUCAAAGAAAUAAAAGUGGUAAUUAUUGCUUUAAAGCACUCAAACUAGUUUAACAAAAUGUUGCUUUAAUUAUAUCUACCUUAAUGAACAGAUAAAAACAGUUGGCAAUUAGUUCUAUAAUUGGUUAUAUGAAUAGAGAUGCUGUUUUGAGUUCUAAAGCAUAUGUCCUAUAGUCAAUUUAUGAGGGAAAAAAAGAUGCUUCUUUAAGUUCUACAGCAUGCGCUCCUAAAGAGCUGUCACAUCCCUGUGUCUCCUCUGAGUGACUCUCUCUGUACCAUAAUAGACAGAACAGUUUCAAAUUCCUGGAUUUUAAGGAUUUUAUGUGAUUUGGGGAGGCGUGCCUACAUAAAUUCAAGCUAAACUGUCUAUCUCAAGGUCUGUAACCUUAAUCACAUUUGUGAAGGACUUUUGUAAUGUAAGGUAACAUUACAUUAGGACUGGAUGUUUGGGGCUUAUUUGUUUGUUUAUUUGUAUUAGGGUUUGAACUCAGCAGGAUUUUAUCACUGAGCCACAACCUCAACCCCCUUUUUAUUUAUUUAUUUAUUUUUUUGAGACAGGGUCUCCCUAGGUUGCUGAGGCUGACCUUGAACUUGAAAUCCUCCUGCUUCAGCCUCCUGAUAUUCUGGGAUUGUAGGCCUGUACCACUGUACCUAACAGGGCAUGAAUAUCUUUAAGGGGCCAUUUUUCUGCCUUUGGCUAUAUAUGUAAAUAUAUUUAUCUGUGGUGCAAUUAUAGUGAUUUCUUUCAUAAAACAAAGGUGAUAUUAGUCCUAGUAACUCUAACUUCUUCUAUUCUUACUCUCUUCUACUGUCGUAUAUGGAAUUACAAGUGAGUUCUCCAC